CUAAGAAGACUGCCGGUGAUAACCGGAGGAAGGUGGGGAUGACGUCAAGUCAGCAUGCCCCUUACGUCCUGGGCGACACACGUACUACAAUGGGUAAGACAAAGGGUAGCCAAGUCGCGAGGCCGAGCCAAUCCCAUAAACUUAUCCUCAGUUCAGAUUGCAGGCUGCAACUCGCCUGCAUGAAGGAGGAAUCGCUAGUAAUCGCAGGUCAGCAUACUGCGGUGAAUCCGUUCCCGGGCCUU
rnacentral:rRNA from 1 species